AUAAUGGGUCAGCGACUUAUAUUCUGUAGCAAGGUUAACCGAAUAGGGGAGCCGAAGGGAAACCGAGUCUUAACUGGGCGUUAAGUUGCAGGGUAUAGACCCGAAACCCGGUGAUCUAGCCAUGGGCAGGUUGAAGGUUGGGUAACACUAACUGGAGGACCGAACCGACUAAUGUUGAAAAAUUAGCGGAUGACUUGUGGCUGGGGGUGAAAGGCCAAUCAAACCGGGAGAUAGCUGGUUCUCCCCGAAAGCUAUUUAGGUAGCGCCUCGUGAAUUCAUCUCCGGGGGUAGAGCACUGUUUCGGCAAGGGGGUCAUCCCGACUUACCAACCCGAUGCAAACUGCGAAUACCGGAGAAUGUUAUCACGGGAGACACACGGCGGGUGCUAACGUCCGUCGUGAAGAGGGAAACAACCCAGACCGCCAGCUAAGGUCCCAAAGUCAUGGUUAAGUGGGAAACGAUGUGGGAAGGCCCAGACAGCCAGGAUGUUGGCUUAGAAGCAGCCAUCAUUUAAAGAAAGCGUAAUAGCUCACUGGUCGAGUCGGCCUGCGCGGAAGAUGUAACGGGGCUAAACCAUGCACCGAAGCUGCGGCAGCGACGCUGAUGCGUUGUUGGGUAGGGGAGCGUUCUGUAAGCCUGUGAAGGUGUGCUGUGAGGCAUGCUGGAGGUAUCAGAAGUGCGAAUGCUGACAUAAGUAACGAUAAAGCGGGUGAAAAGCCCGCUCGCCGGAAGACCAAGGGUUCCUGUCCAACGUUAAUCGGGGCAGGGUGAGUCGACCCCUAAGGCGAGGCCGAAAGGCGUAGUCGAUGGGAAACAGGUUAAUAUUCCUGUACUUGGUGUUACUGCGAAGGGGGGACGGAGAAGGCUAUGUUGGCCGGGCGACGGUUGUCCCGGUUUAAGCGUGUAGGCUGGUUUUCCAGGCAAAUCCGGAAAAUCAAGGCUGAGGCGUGAUGACGAGGCACUACGGUGCUGAAGCAACAAAUGCCCUGCUUCCAGGAAAAGCCUCUAAGCAUCAGGUAACAUCAAAUCGUACCCCAAACCGACACAGGUGGUCAGGUAGAGAAUACCAAGGCGCUUGAGAGAACUCGGGUGAAGGAACUAGGCAAAAUGGUGCCGUAACUUCGGGAGAAGGCACGCUGAUAUGUAGGUGAAGUCCCUCGCGGAUGGAGCUGAAAUCAGUCGAAGAUACCAGCUGGCUGCAACUGUUUAUUAAAAACACAGCACUGUGCAAACACGAAAGUGGACGUAUACGGUGUGACGCCUGCCCGGUGCCGGAAGGUUAAUUGAUGGGGUCAGCGCAAGCGAAGCUCUUGAUCGAAGCCCCGGUAAACGGCGGCCGUAACUAUAACGGUCCUAAGGUAGCGAAAUUCCUUGUCGGGUAAGUUCCGACCUGCACGAAUGGCGUAAUGAUGGCCAGGCUGUCUCCACCCGAGACUCAGUGAAAUUGAACUCGCUGUGAAGAUGCAGUGUACCCGCGGCAAGACGGAAAGACCCCGUGAACCUUUACUAUAGCUUGACACUGAACAUUGAGCCUUGAUGUGUAGGAUAGGUGGGAGGCUUUGAAGUGUGGACGCCAGUCUGCAUGGAGCCGGCCUUGAAAUACCACCCUUUAAUGUUUGAUGUUCUAACGUUGACCCGUGAUCCGGGUUGCGGACAGUGUCUGGUGGGUAGUUUGACUGGGGCGGUCUCCUCCUAAAGAGUAACGGAGGAGCACGAAGGUUGGCUAAUCCUGGUCGGACAUCAGGAGGUUAGUGCAAUGGCAUAAGCCAGCUUGACUGCGAGCGUGACGGCGCGAGCAGGUGCGAAAGCAGGUCAUAGUGAUCCGGUGGUUCUGAAUGGAAGGGCCAUCGCUCAACGGAUAAAAGGUACUCCGGGGAUAACAGGCUGAUACCGCCCAAGAGUUCAUAUCGACGGCGGUGUUUGGCACCUCGAUGUCGGCUCAUCACAUCCUGGGGCUGAAGUAGGUCCCAAGGGUAUGGCUGUUCGCCAUUUAAAGUGGUACGCGAGCUGGGUUUAGAACGUCGUGAGACAGUUCGGUCCCUAUCUGCCGUGGGCGCUGGAGAACUGAGGGGGGCUGCUCCUAGUACGAG
rnacentral:rRNA from 1 species